CUAUACAUUAUUGUCAGCAAGUCAAUUUGUCUUCCAGUCUUACCAGCAUGUUGGGGGCAGAAAUGUUCAGCCUUUUUAAUGUCCUCGGUCCAGCUGACCUGGUUGCUAUGGUUACAGAUGAUUGAGUCAUUCAGCAGGUCACAGUGAGGUUACAGGAGUCUGAGCUGUUGGACACAGAGUCCACUGACAGUUCAACUGGAGACACUGGACCUGAGGAGGGAACGUUUGGGUGAAAUGUUUUAGAAACAUGGCAGCAGAUUCUCUCUGUCAGUGUCUGAAAUGUUAACAAACCUACCUUGAACUGUGACGUUGUAUUCAGCUAGUAUUCGUUCUUCUUCAGACCCUGUCACUCGUGCAGUAUAAACUCCACUGUCUGCCUCUUGUA